rnacentral:rRNA from 1 species
GAUGAACGCUGGCGGCGUGCCUAAUACAUGCAAGUCGAGCGAACGGACGAGAAGCUUGCUUCUCUGAUGUUAGCGGCGGACGGGUGAGUAACACGUGGAUAACCUACCUAUAAGACUGGGAUAACUUCGGGAAACCGGAGCUAAUACCGGAUGAUAUUUUGAACCGCAUGGUUCAAAAGUGAAAGACGGUCUUGCUGUCACUUAUAGAUGGAUCCGCGCUGCAUUAGCUAGUUGGUAAGGUAACGGCUUACCAAGGCAACGAUGCAUAGCCGACCUGAGAGGGUGAUCGGCCACACUGGAACUGAGACACGGUCCAGACUCCUACGGGAGGCAGCAGUAUGGAAUCUUCCGCAAUGGGCGAAAGCCUGACGGAGCAACGCCGCGUGAGUGAUGAAGGUCUUCGGAUCUUAGAACUCUGUUAUUAGGGAAGAACAUAUGUGUAAGUAACUGUGCACAUCUUGACGAUACCUAAUCAGAAAGCCACGGCUAACUACGUG